rnacentral:rRNA from 1 species
AUUGAACGCUGGCGGCAGGCUUAACACAUGCAAGUCGAGCGGAGAUGAGGUGCUUGCACCUUAUCUUAGCGGCGGACGGGUGAGUAAUGCUUAGGAAUCUGCCUAUUAGUGGGGGACAACUUUCCGAAAGGAAUGCUAAUACCGCAUACGUCCUACGGGAGAAAGCAGGGGAUCUUCGGACCUUGCGCUAAUAGAUGAGCCUAAGUCGGAUUAGCUAGUUGGUGGGGUAAAGGCCUACCAAGGCGACGAUCUGUAGCGGGUAUGAGAGGAUGAUCCGCCACACUGGGACUGAGACACGGCCCAGACUCCUACGAGAGGCAGCAGUGGGGAAUAUUGGACAAUGGGGGGAACCCUGAUCCAGCCAGGCCGCGUGUGUGAAGAAGGCCUUAUGGUUGUAAAGCACUUUAAGCGAGGAGGAGGCUACUGAGACUAAUACUCUUGGAUAGUGGACGUUACUCGCAGAAUAAGCACCGGCUAACUCUGUGCCAGCCGCCGCAGUAAUAC